rnacentral:rRNA from 1 species
CAGCCGCCGCGGGAAAACGUAGGUGGCAAGCGUUGUCCGGAAUUAUUGGGCGUAAAGGGCUCGCAGGCGGUUUCUUAAGUCUGAUGUGAAAGCCCCCGGCUCAACCGGGGAGGGUCAUUGGAAACUGGGAAACUUGAGUGCAGAAGAGGAGAGUGGAAUUCCACGUGUAGCGGUGAAAUGCGUAGAGAUGUGGAGGAACACCAGUGGCGAAGGCGACUCUCUGGUCUGUAACUGACGCUGAGGAGCGAAAGCGAGGGGAGCGAACAGGAUUAGAUACCCGUGUAGUCCCUGUCUCUUAUAC